rnacentral:rRNA from 1 species
AAUCAACGCUGGCGGCGUGCCUCAGACAUGCAAGUCGAACGAUUAAAGCUCUCUUCGGAGAGUGUAUAGAGUGGCGCACGGGUGAGUAACACGUAAGUAAUCUACCCUCGAGUGGGGAAUAACAACCGGAAACGGUUGCUAAUACCGCAUAAUGCAGCGGCACCGCAAGGUGACAGUUGUUAAAGAUUUAUCGCUUGAGGAGGAGCUUGCGGCAGAUUAGCUAGUUGGUAGGGUAACGGCUUACCAAGGCUACGAUCUGUAACCGGUCUAAGAGGACGGUCGGUCACACAGACACUGAAUAACGGGUCAGACUCCUACGGGAGGCAGCAGUCGGGAAUUUUGGGCAAUGGGCGAAAGCCUGACCCAGCAACGCCGCGUGAAGGAUGAAGUAUUUCGGUAUGUAAACUUCGAAAGAAUAGGAAGAAUUAAUGACGGUACUAUUUAUAAGGUCCGGCUAACUACGUGCCAGCAGCCGCGGUAAU